rnacentral:lncRNA from 1 species
UUCAAAUUUAAUGGUUUUGAACCAAUUGAGGCAUAUAUACGAAAAAGAACUCACACACACUUGCACAAAUAAAAAGAACCAAAAAUCCACAGCAACAACCUUAUCUCUGUAGCUGUCAACACCAAUGGGCGAGGUCUGCAUAACCAUUCUCUUUUUUUCUUUUUUUUUCUUCAAUUACCAUCAAUGUAUCAUUUUGGGUUCUGAUUUUUUUGUGUGUUUUGAA